rnacentral:rRNA from 1 species
GACGAACGCUGGCGGCGUGCUUAACACAUGCAAGUCGAACGGAAAGGCCUGCUUUCCCUUGUGGAUUGCGGGUGCUCGAGUGGCGAACGGGUGAGUAACACGUGAGUGAUCUGCCCCCAACUUGGGUAUAAGCCUGGGAAACUGGGUCUAAUUCCCGAUAGGACUGCAGGGUGGUGCCUGUGGUGGAAAACGAUUGUCUAGUGGUUGGGGAUGAGCUCGCGGCCUAUCAGCUUGUUGGUGGGGUAAUGGCCUACCAAGGCGGCGACGGGUAGCCGGCCUGGGAGGGUGGACGGCCACAUUGGGACUGGGAUACGGCCCAGACUCCUACGGGAGGCAGCAGUGGGGAAUAUUGCACAAUGGGCGGAAGCCUGAUGCAGCGACGCCGCGUGGGGGAUGACGGCCUUCGGGUUGUAAACUCCUUUCGACCGCGAGGAAGCCACCUGGUUGGAAGGGUGGUGACGGUAGUGGUAGAAGAAGCACCGGCUAACUACGUG